CUUAUUACGUUGAAACACCGGUUCUCGUACGAUCACCGAAGUUAAGCAACAUCGAAUCUGAUCAGUAACUAGAUGGGUAACUGCUUCAAAAUACCAGGUGCUGUAAG
rnacentral:rRNA from 1 species